rnacentral:rRNA from 1 species
GAUGAACGCUGGCGGCGUGCCUAAUACAUGCAAGUCGAGCGAACGGACGAGAAGCUUGCUCUCCUGAUGUUAGCGGCGGACGGGUGAGUAACACGUGGAUAACCUACCUCUAAGACUGGGAUAACUUCGGGAAACCGUAGCUAAUACUGGCUAAUAUUUUGAACCGCAUGGUUCAAAAGUGAAUGACGGUCUUGCUGUCACUUAUAGAUGGAUCCGCGCUGCAUUAGCUAGUUGGUAAGGUAACGGCUUACCAAGGCAACGUUGCAUAGCCGACCUGAGAGGGGGAUCGGCCACACUGGAACGGGGACACGGCCCAGACUCCUACGGGAGGCAGCAGUAGGAAAUCUGCCGCAAUGGGCGAAAGCCUGACGGAGCAACGCCGCGGGAGUGAUGAAGGUCUCGGAUCGUAAAACUCUGUUAUUAGGGAAGAACAUAUGUGUAAGUAACUGUGCACAUCUUGACGGUACCUAAUCAGAAAGCCACGGCUAACUACGUG